rnacentral:rRNA from 1 species
GAUGAACGCUAGCGGCAGGCUUAAUACAUGCAAGUCAAGGGGGUAGCAAUACUACCGGCGCACGGGUGAGUAACACGUACAUAACAUACCAUAUACUGGGGUAUAGCUUUGGGAAACUGAAGGUAAUCCCCCAUAACAUUGCGAGAGGGCAUCUGAUUGCAAUUAAAGUUUCGACGGUAUAUGAUUGAUGUGCGUUUGAUUAGCUUGUUGGUAGGGUAACGGCCUACCAAGGCGACGAUCAAUAGCUGGCGUGAGAGCGCGACCAGCCACACUGGAACUGAGACACGGUCCAGACUCCUACGGGAGGCAGCAGUAGGGAAUAUUGGACAAUGGGCGAAAGCCUGAUCCAGCCAUGCCGCGUGAUAGAUGAAGGCCCUCUGGGUUGUAAAUAUCUUUUAUCUGGGAAGAAACAAUCUUAUUCUUAAAGAUCUUGACGGUACCAGAGGAAUAAGCACCGGCUAAACUCCGUGCCAGCAGCCGCGGUAAU